GUGGUACCCCUUACACAUGCAAGUCGAACGGAGUAAUGGUAGCAAUAUUGUUACAUAAAGUAGUGGCGCACGGGUGAGUAAUAUAUGGGAACGUACCCUUUGGAUCACGGAGAUCGUGGAUGUGUCGCGUAAGCGAGAAAGGAUCGCAAGAUUCACCAAAGGAUCGGCCCAUACCGCAAUUUGUCUAGUUGGUGAGGUAAUGGCUGCACCAAGCUUAUAUUGCGUAACUGGUCUGAGAGGAUGGUCAGUCACACUGGAACUGAGACAAGGUCCAGCUUUGCAGCAGUGGGGAAUUUUCGAAAUGAUGGAGGAAACUCUGAUCGAGGGAUAUCAUGUGGGUGAUGAAGGUAUAUGCCGUAAAACCCUUUUGCCGAUGAGAAAUUGUCGGAGAAUAAGCACCGGCUAACUCUGUGCCAGCAGCCGCGGUAAGACAGAGGGUGCGAGCGUUGUUCGGAAUUAUUGGGCGUAAAGUGCGCGUAGGCGGUUUAAUAAGUCUGUAGUGAAAUACCAAAGCUUAACUUUGGUGCUGCUAUGGAAACUAUUGAACUGGAGAAUGGAAGAGGUAAGUGGAAUUGCUACUGGAGAGGUGAAAUUCGUAGAUAGUAGUAGGAACACCAAAGGCGAAGGCAGCUUACUGGGACAUUUCUGACGCUGAAGUGCGAAAGCGUGGGGAGCAAACAGGAUUAGAUACCCUGGUAGUCCACGCCCUAAACGAUGAGAGCUAAAUGUUGGUCUUUUGAUCAGUGUUGUCGCUAACGCAAUAAGCUCUCCGCCUGGGUAGUAUAGCCGCAAGGCCGAAACCCAAAGGAAUUGACGGGAACCCGCACAAGCGGUGGAUCAUGUGGUUUAAUUCGAAGGUACACGAAGAACCUUACCAAUUUUUGACCUCCAGUAGAGCGCGCUAGGAAUAGAGCGGUCCGCAAGGCUACUGGAUCAGGUGUUGCAUGGUCGUCGUCAGCUCGUGUCGUGAGAUGUUCAGUUAAGUCUGAAAACGAGCGCAACCUUUAUCUUUUGUUGCUAACAGGUAAUGCUGAGUACUUGAAAGAGACUGCUGGUGUAAGCCAGAGGAAGGAAAAGAUGACGUCAGAUGUCAUGACCCCUAUGAAUUGGGCUACACAUGUGAUACAAUGGUUGCUACAAAGAGAUAGAUCUCAAAAAGCAAUCUCAGUCCGGAUUGGCUUCUGAAACUUGGAGCCAUGAAGUCGGAAUCGCUAGUAAUCGCGAAUCAGAAUGUCGCGGUGAAUACGUUCCCGGGUUCUGUACACACCGCCCGUCAGGCCAUGAGAGUUAGUCAUACUGCAAGAGCUUUUUGCCCAAGGUGUGAUUGAUGAUUAGGGUUAAGUCGUAACAAGGUAGCUGCAUGGGAAUGUGCGGCUG
rnacentral:rRNA from 1 species